ACACCUCAGGGCAAGCAAGCAGAGAUGAUCGAAAAUAACAUCUGCAAAAGUUUUGUGCAUUUAUUCCCUCCUCCUACUCCAGCCAUUUGUAUACUCAAGGAACAGGUUUUCUCUUAAUUUAAGAUCCUCAUAAGAAAGCUCUCUCAUUUGUGAUAUCACUUGAGGUUCCUGGAGAAGCAGCAUCGUUUUUUGGUACCAUGAGUAUCCCAGGUUAACAUGAAUAAGUGAAAUCUCUAGCUCAGUAGUAUCUAAAAUUUUGUAUGGCAUUACCCUAUCUGUAUAAAAUUUCUCAUUCACUAUCAUUACACACACACACACACAUAACUGUUAUAAAAUUAUAGUAUGUACAAUUGCAUCAUAUCACAUACAAAAAUUCAAAUUUAAAAGCUAUGUAUGUGACAGAGCUUCAUUAUGAUGAUCUUAAAUUAAGAGAAAACCUGUUCCUUGAGUAUACAAUAUGCCGUGUUAUGUAUAUACAAUUGUAUAUACAUAUAUAUACCUGUUAAUAUGUAUAAAACACAUGUGUGUUUAGACAUCUUGUAUCAUCUCUAGCAUACAUGCAAACCACUUUAAAAACAUAUCACCUUCAAAUCUUAUUUUAACACUUACAUUCAAAUUUGCUUUCCAGAAACCUUUUCACAGGUGCUUAAGAAGAAAAUGUACUCAUAGUUUAGUCCUAUAUUUAUCACCUUUCAGUGCUCAUUUCUAAGUGCUUAAUACCAUGAAAAUGGUAAAUGGGCAGUCUGAGGAUGAAAAAGAGAGAACAUAAGAGGCCUAGAUAAUCUAUAAACUAAAUAUAGGCCAUUAGCAGAAGGCAAAUGUAAUUUUGAAAUGAAGGCCAUCACGUAUUUUCUCCAGUAUGUUCACAGGUCAAGGAUAGUCCUUCCACCCAGGUUCUAGACCACAUCUUUUCUUACUAUCCCUGAAACCCUGCCCCAGCACUCAUCCCUCUUCAGUGCACGUCUUCAAAUUCUCUCCCUAAUGUAACUUCCCCUCAGUCUGUAAAUAUUCUAAUUUUUCUUAUUGUAAAAAAAAUAUUUCUUUUGAUAUUUAAUUUCCUCCUGAAACAUCCUGUACUUCUGGCUUCUGUUCUCUUCCUGUUUUUCUCCUCCUUUCCUCGCUGCUCUCCCGUCAUCUCCUUCACAGGCUCUUUCCUUGUUGGUGUUUGCAGAGUUUCAUCCUGAAUCCUCCUCUUCAUUCUGCAGAUUGUCUCUGGGCCCAUUCCCUGCACAGGUCCCUAUCUCCAGCCAGCCUCCCCUUCUGAGUUCCAGAUCAGUAUUUCCAUCAGCCACCAAAUUUCUCCAGCUAGACAGUCUGUAAGUAAGCCAGAUUCAACAUUUCCAAAACUGAAUUUAAUACGUGUCCUCCAGAAUUUUCUCCUCUAUUGGCUACCAUUGUUUAAUGGCAGUAUUAUUAUCACACAAACAUGAAAGCCAGGAAUUUGUCCCCAUGUUUUCAACCUCACAGCCACUCUCCAAAUUCUCUUGGCUCUCCUCCCAUCCAUGCAACUCCUGCCACCCAGUCAGUCCCUCAUCUUAUGUCUGUAUGUAACUUUUAAACUGGAUUUUCUUUUCUUAUCUCUCCAACCCAUUCUCUUCAUUUUCACUAAUGAUAUCUUUCUAAGACACUUAUAUGUUUCCAAUUACUGCUUUGUUUCAAAUGUUAGUGGCUCCCCAUCUCAGGUAGGGUAAAGUGCCAAUUUCUUGGCAUGUCAUAAAAAGGUACAUUCUACCUAUCCAAUCUUUUCUUUACUGUAUGCUUUCCUGAACACAAAUACACAUUCACACACACACACCACACACAUGCCCACACAUGUACACACUCUAAAGCCAUCUAUAUACACCAUUCUUUGUUAUGACUACACCUGAUCAUACCAUAUUUAGUGUGAAAAUAUUUUCCAAAUACUCCCUUUGCCUUCAUUGCAUUGUUGCUUUCACCCCUUUUCACUCAUCUCUUUGCAACUGACCAUUAUCCAAUGCUAGAAGGGUCAAUCCCAAGCAAAAUUAUAAAGUAGAGAACUUUUACUUUUGCAACAAAAAGGAAAGCUUGAGGUAACCUACCUUUGCUGGGUCCCACCCUAAACCACCUCUCUGGUCUCAUCCUCAGCCCCUUAAUGGGACUUAGGCCGCCCUCUGAUAAAGUAACUUUGCUCCCCUAUGGCUUAGCAGUUAUACCUGCCCAACCUCAGCUAAGCUUUGCUCUCUUAAUACUAGGUCCUGAGCCACUGUUUGACUUAAAUUUAUGGACUGGGGUUUAGGAUUCAGUAUUUACAAUGGCUCAUAUAUUUCUGAUGUAUGGUCUGGUUUGGAAGUGAUUGCUUAAAUAUCAUCACUGCCUCCCCACUUUCCUAAGAUUAAAAUUCCAGUGUUACCUACCCCUUACCACCUUGUGGGAUGAUCACCAAGACAGGUAGAUUUCAACAUCAAGAGUUAGUGGCUGUGAGCGGCUGUGUCAGUUAAAUUCCUUCCGAAGUGGAUGAUGACUACUCCCUGUCUUCAUGUGCUGACAGCCCUGGAGAUAUUAAAAGGUAGAAGCUUGUUAAUGUAAAGAGAUGAGCUUCUCAUGAUGUAAUUUUAGACAUUCAGCAAAAUAAAGACACAUGUUCAGUCAAUGUGUAUAAAGUCAAGAAUUUCAGGAAGAAUGGGGAAAAUAUUUGGGGCCAAAAGUGUCCAGGCAUCACAUAAAUUCUACCACUAAAGCCAUAAGUCUUGACUACCAACACUGCUCAGCUUGGGAUAUUAGUAAAAGAUUUAGCACAGCAUAAAACAAGAGAAACCAUGAAAGAUCACCGCUCUGAUUGGCAAGUGAAAGAAAUGGAAGGUUGGUGGAGUUCUUUUUUUCCAGUUGUUCAGUGACCAAUCAUUUACCAGCAGAACAUACAGAAGAGUGGCUCCCUACAGGGGAGAAUCCUAGCACUGCAAAUCAUGAGACAAUAGACUCUGUGUAUGACAGUGAUUCCUAUGCCCCUUCAGGUGAUCCAUAGAGGCUUUAUUGAUCUGGCUACAGUGAAUUUCAUAAAACUAAUACUUGAUAAUAUUCUUAUAAGGUAUCUACUUUAUGUAAGGCUGUGUGUUAGGCUCAAGGUGGAAUCAGAGAAAACUUAAAACAUGGCUGAGAGAGGUUGGAGUUUAUUUGGAAAAAAAUCCAAACAUGGGGAAAGGAAAUUGUCUCAGCCCUGAAGCAUACUUAACCAAUUUCAGCCCCUUGUCAUCUUCCUUUCUAGCAGAAGUCCAUUUAUUGAGUUACCAUCCUCUUCUGCAUAGCUAAAAAAUUGAGGUGAUGCUGAAGGGUGAUUAGGCUGGUCCCAGGCAUCUGGGCUGUGUCUGAUUUAGCCAUGGGCAUGUAAUGCAAGGUUGACCAAUGAGAUCUGCUGGGUGACUUAUGGGAAAAGAAUUUUCAUUCCUAAGAGAGAUAUUUGUUAAAGAAAAUAUUGUCAAGUUUAUAUGUGAAAUUUGGAACAACUACAGCCAUCUUGCAACUGCGAUGUCAACUAGCUUAAGGAUAAAGCUAGUAUAUUGGAGUUAGCCUUAUGGAAAGAAAUGGACUUUGAUGUUGUCUUUGAACUUCUGAAUUAUUGGAAUUUAAGACUAUAGUAUGUCUUGGUGUCUUUAAAAUUUUCAUAUAAUUUAAAACUUGGUUAUAUCAUUUUCUAUAACUUAGAGAGCUGUAACAUCAGUUUCCAUAGCAUAAUAGAUGUCAUGUGUUCACAAUUAAUGAGUGGUACAGAUAACAUGUUGAAUUCAGAGGAUGGAGAGAUAUCAUUGUGAUACAUUGAAGUGUCUAGCCUCCUGAGAUGUCUUCAUGGAAACAGGUAAGAAUCAUUACAAUUUAGAUCUGCCAUGAAGAACCUC
rnacentral:lncRNA from 10 species